rnacentral:tRNA from 5 species
GUCCUCGUAGUACAACGGAUAGUACAAGUGCCUCCUAAGCGCUAGAUACAGGUUCGAUUCCUGUCGGGGAUACCA